rnacentral:rRNA from 1 species
UACGUAGGGUGCGAGCGUUUAAUCGGAAUUACUGGGCGUAAAGCGUGCGCAGGCGGUGAUGUAAGACAGAUGUGAAAUCCCCGGGCUCAACCUGGGACCUGCAUUUGUGACUGCAUCGCUAGAGUACGGCAGAGGGGGAUGGAAUUCCGCGUGUAGCAGUGAAAUGCGUAGAUAUGCGGAGGAACACCGAUGGCGAAGGCAAUCCCCUGGGCCUGUACUGACGCUGAGGAGCGAAAGCGUGGGGAGCGAACAGG